CCAGACUCCUACGGGAGGCAGCAGUGAGGGAUAUUGGUCAAUGGGGGAAACCCUGAACCAGCAACGCCGCGUGAGGGAAGACGGUUUUCGGAUUGUAAACCUCUGUCCUCUGUGAAGAUAAUGACGGUAGCAGAGGAGGAAGCUCCGGCUAACUACGUGCCAGCAGCCGCGGUAAUACGUAGGGAGCGAGCGUUGUCCGGAUUUACUGGGUGUAAAGGGUGCGUAGGCGGCCCUGCAAGUCAGAAGUGAAAGCCCGUGGCUCAACCGCGGAACCGCUUUGGAAACUGCGAGGCUGGAGUGCUGGAGAGGUAAGCGGAAUUCCUGGUGUAGCGGUGAAAUGCGUAGAUAUCAGGAGGAACACCGGUGGCGAAGGCGGCUUACUGGACAGUGACUGACGUUGAGGCUCGAAAGCGUGGGGAGCGAACAGGAUUAGAUACCCUCGUAUG
rnacentral:rRNA from 1 species